rnacentral:rRNA from 1 species
GACGAACGCUGGCGGCGUGCCUAAUACAUGCAGGUAGAACGCUGAAGGAGGAGCUUGCUCUUCUGGAUGAGUUGCGAACGGGUGAGUAACGCGUAGGUAACCUGCCUGGUAGCGGGGGAUAACUAUUGGAAACGAUAGCUAAUACCGCAUAAGAGUAGAUGAUGCAUGACAUUUGCUUAAAAGGUGCAAUUGCAUCACUACCAGAUGGACCUGCGUUGUAUUAGCUAGUUGGUGGGGUAACGGCUCACCAAGGCGACGAUACAUAGCCGACCUGAGAGGGUGAUCGGCCACACUGGGACUGAGACACGGCCCAGACUCCUACGGGAGGCAGCAGUAGGGAAUCUUCGGCAAUGGACGGAAGUCUGACCGAGCAACGCCGCGUGAGUGAAGAAGGUUUUCGGAUCGUAAAGCUCUGUUGUAAGAGAAGAACGAGUGUGAGAGUGGAAAGUUCACACUGUGACGGUAUCUUACCAGAAAGGGACGGCUAACUACGUG